rnacentral:lncRNA from 1 species
GAGACUGUGCCUCAAAAAUAAAAUAAAAUAAAAUAAUGUCUAGUCGGAGAGCCGGGGAGGUGGCGCGCGCCUGUAAUCCCAGCCACCCAAAGAGCUAUGGUCUCGGCACUGCACUUCAACCUGCGAGACCCAGUCUCAAAAAGAAAAAAAAAAGUUUAGUCGGCAGCCAGCAAGGCGGGACGCUGGGAGGCCAGUUCAAAGAGUGUCGUCCCAAGUGCCGGAGGGACGGAGCUGUAGCCCCCAACCUGAGCUGGACCCGAGGGUGGCGGUGACUAGGACUCUCAAGCCCUACAAAGCUGCUCCCAGGAACCCGAGGCCUCAAGGCUGGAUCUGAAAGAAUCGGAAUGAAGACUCGGAAUGAAGAGUCCCAGGGGAACAAGUCCUGUGUGACUCCGCCGCCAGGACGACCUUCCAGAAAGCAGACUUCUCCGCUCCAGUUCUAGCGGAGACGGAGAGAGUGAACCAAGAACCAUCAUCCUGCGCCAGCCAGGGGCAAGCGGAGCCUCAGUUGCUCCCAAACCCACGCCCGCCUCUCCUUCCUCUCCUCCUCCACAGGCUUUCAUUUAUUUACUUAAGUAUUUUUAGCCCAGUAGCAGUUUCCAGUCCAGCGGCUCCUCAGAUCUUUCGCCGGCUGUCCGCCCCACCUGUCCGUCAGCACGCGAGCCAAUGAGCGGGCGAGGGCAGCGCUGUGCCCCGCCCCUGAGCCGGCAGCCCAGUCUCGGGAGCCCGGGGCCGCCUGGGCCUCCUGCCCGCCGCGCUCGAGUCUGGAGCUCGAGAGUGACACUGCGCAUGUGCGGGCGUCCUGCGCAUCUCCUACGGCCUCCAGGACAGAGGAACCGGGGGAGGCAGGGGGAAAAGGCCGGCCCAGCAAUUCCCCUACCCCCCGGUCCCACGUGUACCCUCCUGGCCUGGGUCGCCCCAGCCCACGGGGAGCGGGCGGAGUCCUGGCCCACGAAGCCUUGUCACCUGGCGGGCGAAUCCGCAAGCGGAGACUUGUCUUUAAAGGGCUUUGGGCCGGGCGCGGUGGCUCAUGCCUGGAAUCCCAGCACUUUGGGAGGCCGAGGCGGUGGAUCACGAGGUCAGGAGUUCAAGACCAGCCUGGCCAAGAAGGUGAAACCCCGUCUGUACUAAAAAUACAAAAAAAAAAAAAAAUUAGCAGGGCGUGGUGGCGGGCGCCUAUAAUCCCAGCUACUCGGGAGGCUGAGGCAGAGAAUUGCUUGAACCCGGGAGGCGGAGGCUGCAGUAAGAUCGCGCCACCGCACUCCAGCCUGGGCGAGAGAGGAGACUCUGUCUCAAAAAAAAAAAGGGAGCGGGGGGGCUUUGGUCUGUGCAGGAGCUUCCCGGAGAUGCUUUAGAGCUGCGUUUGCAAAGUGCAGCGCCAAAUGCUGCAGAGAGGUGGGAGUCAGAGGAGAGGAGGACUGCGGUCCCAAACCCUAGCAGUUUAGUCUGUCGGGGAGGAGAGGAAGGGAACCCGGAGAGCACUUGUAAGCUACAGUGCUGAAUAUGAGGAGGUACUGAAUUGAGCAUCAAAUGCUGAGAGUUAAAGAAUUCUCCCUAGGGACCAGCCAGCUAUUAUCUGGAAGCAGUGAGUUUGGAUAGAGCCUGGAAGCACGGGUAGCAUUGCUGUUAGCAAUAAAAGGUGAACGUGUUAACAUUCACUGCAAUUCGUUGUAUACACUAUUAAAAUAUAACUUGCUCAAUUCAGGGGCGGUGAGUAAAGUAAAGGAGUCAGAGCUCCUAAUUAUUGGAGAGGCCAGGGAAAGCUUCACAGAAUUCAAGCUUGAGUAGGGUUUUGUUGAAAGGGAAGGAUAUACAAAGCAUUGAAUGUAUGCAAAGUUCAGCUAAAGUAAACAGUCCUUUUUGUGUUAGGCAGAGUGCUAAAAGUACUCUGGCUAUAACGAAGACUACAACACCACCUUCAGGGACUUUAGCGUCUGUGGAGACUUGAACAUCUAAUGUUAGAAAUAUUCUCAGAAUUCUGAGACAGCCACCUAGCCUGGCCUUCAGGGAGAUCUUCCAGGAAGAGGAAAUAACACAGAAAGUGUGGUAUAUUUAAAUAUACCUAGCCAGGCGCGGUGGCUCACACCUGUAAUCCCAGCACUUUGGGAGGUCGAGGCCAGUGGAUCAACCGAGGUCAGGAGUUCGAGACCAGCCUGACCAACAUGGUGAAAGCCGUCCCUACUAAAAAUACAAAAUUAGCCAGGCAUGAUGGCGCAUGCCUCUAAUCCCAGCUACUUGGGAGGCUGAGGCAGAAGAAUUGCUUGAACCCAGGAGGCAGAGGUUGUAGUGAGCCAAGAUUGUGCCAUUGCACUCCAGCCUGGGUGACAGAGCCAGACUCCGUCUCAAAAAAAAAAAAAAAAAAAAGGUUGAGGGCAUGGUGAGGGAGGGGACUUUUUUUAAAAGCUCUUCAGGAGAUAGGGUUGAGAGAACCUGUUUGCUGGUGUCUAGGGUGACUACCAAGUUUGAGGCUGUGGUAACUAAGGUAAGUGUUACAGACUGAAUGUUUGUGUACCCCCAAAUGCAUUUGUUGAAAUCCUAGCCCCCAGUGUGAUGGUAUUAGGAGGUGGGGCCUUUGGGAGGUAAUUAGGUCAUGAGGGUGGAGCCCUCAUAAAUGGGAUUAGUGCUCUUAUAAAAGGGACCCCAGAGAGUUCUCUAGCUCUUCCUGCCCUGUGAGAUACAAGAAGUUGGCAGGCUGCAACCUGGCAGAGGGCCCUCACCUGAGCCUGACCAUGCUGGCACAUGAUCUAGGACUUCUAGCCUCCAGAACUGUGAGAAAUACAUUUCUGCUGUUUAACCCACCCUGUCUAUGGUACUUCACAGCUCAUACUGACUAAGGCAGCAGAACAUACAGGAGGAAGAGGAGCAGGUUUCACAGAGGGAAGACAUGAGUUCAAUUUUGGACUUCUCAGUAGUCGGUGUCCUCAGUGGUAGCAACUUCAAACGGAAGGUGUCAAAAGUCAAAUUCUGGAGAGUUGAGUAUGAAUGGGAGAUGAAGAAAAGGAGGCAGCACUUGUAGCCUGCUCUUAAUGUAUUUCUGCACUCUACACUAGCAGCCUAUUACACAGGACACUUGGAUGUCUCCUAGAUAUCACAAAUUCAGCUUCAAAAAUGAAUUCUUCUAGGUAUAUGGAAAGAUGUGAAGAAGAAAAUAUAGCAAUAAGUUAGGUGGUAGGUAUAUGGUUGUUUACUGUACAAUCUGUCAGUUUUUCUGUAUUUUUGAAAUUUUUCAUGAUAAAAUAUUAAGAAAAAAGUAGUGGGCCCAUCCUCUUUACCCUCCAACUAUUCUUCUUCCCAUGUGCCCUAUUUCAAUAAAUAGAACAACUGUUUAGUCAGUUGUUUAGGCCAGAGAAUAUCAGAGUUGUUAGGCCUGGGAAUAUCAUUCUUCAGUUUCUCUCCUUUUUCCUUGUAGUCUAAUCAGUCGCCAAGUCUCUCUCUUUUUUUUUUUUUUUAAGAUGGAGUUUCACUCUUGUUGCCCAGGCUGGAGUGCAAUGGCGUGAUCUCGGCUCACCGCAACCUGUGCCCCCUGGGUUCAAGUGAUUCUCCUGCCUCAGUCUCCCAAGUAGCUGCAAUUACAGUCAUGCACUACCACGCCCGGUUCAUUUUGCAUUUUUUUAGUAGAGACAUGGGGUUUCUCCAUGUCGUUCAGGCUAGUCCCGAACUCCUGACCUCAGGUGAUCCGCCUGCCUCAGCCUCCCAAAGUGCUGGGAUUAUAAGCGUGAGCCACCGUGCCCAGCAAUAGAGUUACACCUUACACCAAAGUUAGGUUAUAAGUCAGUACAUAAGGCCAAAAUUACAUAGUUAACAUAACCUUUGAAAAUCCCUGGCCGGGCGCUGUGGCUCACGCCUGUAAUCCGGGCACUUUGGGAGGCCGAGUUGGGCGGAUCACCUGAGGUCAGGAGUUUGAGACCAGCCUGGCCAACAUGGUGAAACCACGUCUCUACCAAAAAUACAAAAUUAGCUGGGUGUGGUGGCGUGCCUCUGUAGUCCCAGCUAUUUGGGAGGCUGAGGCAGGAGAAUCACUUGAACCCAGGAGGCAGAGGUUGCAGUGAGCUGAGAUCAUGCCAUUGCACUCCAGCCUGGGCGACAAGAGUGAAACUCUGUCUCAACAAACAAACAAAUUAAUAAUAAAAGUAUGCAAAACAUAAAUGUAUUAUAGCUCAAUGGAUGGUUAUAAAAUGAACCUCCUGCAACAAAUGCCUAAGUCAAGCCAAAGCAUCCCAGAGGCCCCCACAGUGCUGCUUCCUGAUGACGCCCUCCUCCCGUGCCCAUGAAGGAAUCCUGCUCCCUUGAUAUUUAGAGUUAUCACUCAAUCGCUUGUUAAAACUAGUUUACCCCUAAAAAUGAACCCUAAAAGCAGUCAUUUUGGAUUUUGUAAACAGCUUUAUUGGAUAUAAUUCGCAUACCAUUAAUUCACCCAUGUAAAAUGUACAAUUCAAUGGGUUUUGGUAUAUUACAUUAUUAAUUUUUAAAAAGUAUGGUAAAAUAAAUGUAAGGGCGGUGGCUCAUGCCUGUAAUCCCAACACUUUGGGAGACCGAGGUGGGCAGAUCACCUGAGGUGGGGCGUUUGAGACCAGCCUGACCAACAUGGAGAAACCCCAUCUCUACUAAAAAUACAAAAUUAGGGCCAGGCACGGUGGCUCACGCCUGUAAUCCCAGCACUUUGGGAGGCUGAGGUGGAUGGAUCAUAAGGUCAGGAGUUCGAGACCAGCCUGGCCAAGAUGGUGAAACCCCGUCUCUACUGAAAAUACAAAAAAAUUAGCCGGGCAUGGUGGUGGGCGCCUGUAAUCCCAGCUACUCGGGAGGCUGAGGCAGGAGAAUCAGGAGAAUCGCUUGAACCUGGGAGGCAGAAGUUGGAGUGAGCCGAGAUUGUGCCUGGGCAACAAGAGCGAAACUCUGUCUCAAAAAAUAAUAAUAAAAUAGGCUGGCGCAGUGGCUCAUGCCUGUAAUCCCAGCACUUUGGGAGGCCGAGGCAGACGGAUCACCUGAGGUCGGGAGUUCGAGACCAGCCUGACCAUGGAGAAACCUCAUCUCUACUAAAAAUACAAAAUUAGCCGGGUGUGGUGGUGCAUGCCUGUAUUCCCAGCUAUUCAGGAGGCUGAGGCAGGAGAAUCACUUGAAUCCGGGAGGUGGAGGUUGUCAUGAGCCAAGAUCACACCAUUGCAUUCCAGCCUGGGCAACAAAAAGUGAAACUCCGUCUCAAAAAUAAAUAAAUAAACAAAUGUAUGACAAAAUUUGCCAUUUUAACCAUUUUUAAGUGUACAACUCAGUGGCAUUAAUUAUAUUCACAAUAUUGUACAACCGUCACCACUAUCUAUUCCAAAACUUUUCCAUCACCCCAAACAGAAGCUCUGUAACCAUUAAGCAAUAACUGGCAUCCCCCCUCCCUUUAGCCCCUGAUAACUCCUAAUAUACUGUCUUUAUGAAUUUGCCUAUUCUGGGUACCUCAUAUAAUGUGCCUAUAAUAUUUGUCCUUUUGCAUCUGGCUUAUUUCACUUAGCAUAAUGUUUUCAAGGCUCAUCCAUGUUACAGCAUGUAUCAGAACUUCAUUCCCUUUUAUGGCUGAAUCAUAUUCCAUUGUAUGUGUAUACAUACAAUGUGUGUAUAUGCCACAUUUUGCUUAUCCAUUCAUCUGUUGAUGGACAUUUGGGUCGUUUUCAUCUUUCAACUAUUGUGAAUAAUGCACAAUUAUUUCAUUUUGCCAAUUUUUGAACUUCAUAAGAAUGGAAUCAGAAUAAUUACAACAUAUUUUUUGUGCAUGUCUGACUUUUUAAAUAUGCAUUCAUGUUAUUUUAUAUACCUGUAGUUCAUUCAUUUUCUUUUCUUUUCUUUUCUUUUUUUUUUUUUUUUUUUUUUUUUUUGAGACAGGGUUUUGCUCUUGUUGCCCAGGCUAGAGUGCAGUGGUGCAAUCUUGGCUCAGCGCGAUCUCAGCUCACUGCAACCUCCGCCUCCUGGGAUUCUCCUGCUUCAGCCUCCCAUGUAGUUGGGAUUACAGGCGCCUGCCAAUACGCCUGGCUAAUUCUGUAUUUUUAGCAGAGACAGGGUUUCUCCGUGUUGGUCAAGCUGGUCUCGAACUCCCGACCUCAGGUGAUCUGCCUGUCUCAGCCUCUCAAAGUGCUGGGAUUACAGGCGUGAGCCACCACGCCCGGCCUCAUUUUCAUAUGGAAUUCUAUUUCAGAAAUAUGCCAAUUUAUCCAUUCUACUGUUGAUAGAUACAUGAAUUGUUUCCAGUUUUAAGCUAUUUCAAAUAUGCUAUUAUAAAAAUGGUAGAUAUUGCAUGAAUUUCUGUCAGGUAUACAGCUAGGAGUUAAAUGGCUGGGUCAGAGUUUAUUUGGCUUAACUAGAGAAUGCCAAAGUGGUUGUACUAAUUUUUCUUCCCACAGGCAGUGUAUGAGAGUUCCACUUGUUCUACACCCUCUCCAAUUCUUGAGGUUGUCAAUGUGGUUAGCCAUUCUGGUGAGUUUGUGGUGCAAUGGUACCUCAGUAUGGGUUUAACUUGCAUUUCUGUGUUUAUAAAUGAGGUUAAACACCUUGUGAUAUGUCAAUUGAUCAUUUGGAUAUCUUCUGUGAGAUGCCUGCUCAAGUCCCUUGCCUAUCUUCUGAAAGUGUUAUUGUUUUAUUUGCUCAUUUAAGAUUGGUAACCACCUGGAGUUGAUUUUGACAUUUACUGGGAGGUAGAGGGUCAUGAUUCAUAUUAUUCCGUUUGGAGAUUCAGUUAUUCCAGCACCAUGUGUUGAAAAGACUGUUAUGACCCCUCUGCAGGCCAUGUUUGUCAUAAAUCAAGUGUCCAUAUUUGCAUGGGUCUAUUUAUGGACCUUCCAUUCUACUAUCUGUUCCUCCUUGCACAAUACUGCACAGUUGGUAGCUUUAUAUUAAAGUUUGAUAUUUAUAGGCCAAGCACUCCCUCCCAAUUUGUUCUUCAGGAAAGUCUUGGCUAUUGUUUAAUGACUGGACACAAAUUGUAGGAACAGUAUAUACAGAUUCUUUAAGUAAGUCUUAAAAAUGGAAAAGCCACCCAGGUGUGGUGGCCCACUCCCGUAAUCCCAGCACUUUGGGAGUCCAAGGUGGGCAGAUCACCUGAGGGCAGGAGUUCGAGAUCAGCCUGGCCAACAUGGUGAAACCCCGUCUCUACUAAAAAUACAAAAAAAUUAGCUGGGUGUGGUGGCCUGUGCCUGUAAUCCCAGCUACUCUGGAGGUGGAAGCAGGAGAAUCGCGUGCACCCAGGAGAUGGAGGUUGCAGUGAGCCGAGAUUACGCCACUGCACUCCAGCCUAGGUGACAGAGUGAGACUGUCUCAAAAAAAAAAAAAAAAGAAAGAAAGAAAAGCCAUGUUGUAAUCCUUUUCUGAACAGUCAUUCCAGUGACUUUCCAGCUUAGAAGUUGGUAGUGGUUGGCCGGGAGUGGUGGCUCACGCCUGUAAUCCCAGCACUUUGGGAGGCCAAGGCAGGAGGAUCGCCCAAGGUCAGGAGUUCAAGACCAGCCUGGGCAACGUGGUGAAACCCUGUCUCUACUAAAAAUACAAAAAGUAGCUGGGCAUAGCGGUGCAUGCCUGUAGUCCCAGCUACUCAGGAGGCUGAGGCAGGAGAAUCGCUUGAACCCAGGAGGGGGUGGUUGCCAUGAGCCAAGAUGGCGCCACUGCACUCCAGCCUGGGCAGCAAAGUGAGACUCUGUCAAAAAAAAAAAAAAAACAAGAAGUUGGCAGCACUGUCCAACACAGUAGCCACCAGCCACUUGUGACUACUGAGCACUUGAAAUGUGAUUGGUCUGAAUUGCAGUGUACUGUAAGUGUAAAAUACACAAUGGAUUUCUACAAUAAAGGAUGCAAGAUAUCAAUAUUUUUCCUGUUGUUUACAUGAAAACUUGGAGGUAUACUGGAUUAAUGAACUCUCUCUCUCUCUCUCUCUAUAUAUAU